UGGAAAAUGGUUGCAAUUCUCAGAAAAGUUUGUUAAACUUGCCCACGAUUACAUUUGUGGAUGUACAGGCAAUGACGGAGGCRAAGUCACAAACCAACAAGGUCGAAAAGGGUUACAAAUUCUUCCAUGAAGWAUUUAUACACCAUUAUCAAGAUCUCUCUGGGAGUUGAGAAGUUGGAGUUGCUGGCCUUCUCGUGUAGUUGUGUGGCUGGUAAAGGGUUUUGCAACCAUCUACUGGCCCUUCUUUACCAGACUACACACUACUCCCAGCUGCAUUUACCUGCUGUUCCACCUGCUCUUGCUUGUACAAGCAGUUUACAAAGAUGGCACAGACCACGGACACAGGGGAUUCAUCCAGAACCUGCCAUUUAAGAAGUGGUCCGAAAGCCAAGAACYGUGGGGAAGGACGGUUUGAGGUCCACGCUCUACAGAGCUUAUGCAGGACCACUUUCUGAUCCUGACAUCAUUGCUUGUGAGGAAAAACUAUGCCAGCUGCAGCCUCAGCCUCUGAUAGCUCUAGUUUUGGAUGGACUUUCAAAUAUAGAGCUGACAUCAUCUAAGAUCAAAAUAAAUAAAUAUUUAAAUUAAUUUAAAUUGUGUUUUUUAUUGUAAAUAGAUUUUACUUGUUUGCUUUGCAAUUGAACAAAGUUUAUCUGUUAUCAAAAGUUCUUGUCAGAGAUGCAGCCAGUGUACAAGGAAAACAUAAAGGUAACCAAACCACAGGGAGCCACACCAAACAACUCUUUCAGAGUUGUACAGUUUUUAUAAUUGGAGGUCUCUGACUGACAGCAAGGUGAGGGAUGACGCUCUCUCAGUGUGAUCUCUGUACAGACCAGAAUGACAAGUACAUUUGGAGAUAAUUUUCUGAAUCUGUGGGGCAUGCCUUGUUUUGACUUUCUCUGCUAAUCCACAUAUUGAUUGAUGAAAAAACAAUAAAAAUGUAAUUUGCCCAGGUSAUUGUAACUCUGCUGACUGUAGCAAAGCUCAUAUUAAACAUGUCAGCAAUGAGCUGCGCCUUCAUGCCAACUGCAACCCUGAAAGAGUACCGGUACAUUAAAAAAAAAUCAUCAGUGGCAUGUUGCACGUGGGACUGGGACUAGGACAGGCUUCUUCAUCAAUCCUUUGUGCUUUGGUCCAGUACACCAGCCGGGAUGCAGAAGGUUCAACAGACUCCCAAAAGAUCCAGAUCAUGCUGUCGGAUAGAAAUUUAGUGUAAAACCGUAUCUGAUCAUCUGAAGCACAGUAGCAAAUGAAGAGAGUUG